CGGAGGCCCGAGUUAAAACAGAAGGUGCUGCUUUGCCUCCAGAAUAUUUGUGUGGUGAUCCUCUAAUUUUUCAAGCGAUGGGCUAUAGGAUGAGGACCUGCCAGGGCCAAGAAGACACAUUUCAGAAGGAGGCUCUUAAAGGCCAAGUGGUGAGGAGGUUCCAAGGUGGCCGAAUAGGAAGAGCUCCAGUCUACAGCUCCCAGCGUGAGUGAUGCAGAAGACGGGUGAUUUCUG